UAAUUCAAUUGUGUGUGCUGGAAUGUUUCUUAAUGUUAUAUCAUUGUAAGUCAUGUUCAUCAGCAAUGGAUGGGCCAAAAUCUUAUUCACAUGCGUGCGAUUUUGUUUUUGGUUGGAUAAAAGAACUUUGGCUUGGGUUAGUUAUAUUUUGUUUUUAAAGAGAGUUUAUAUGUGUUGCAGAGUGUUAUGGAAUGUGUAUUUGGUUCAACAUUUGUUUGCAAAACUAUUGAUGCAGCGAGGGCGUCCAUAGGUUGCUUUUAAUAGAGAAAUUGGCACCCCAAGUGUCACUCUCGAUGGUGAUAUAUUUCAGCCAAGUGGCCUUUUGACUGGUGGAAGUCGCAAGUGUGCAGAAACAUAUGACAUUCUUCCAGAUGGAUUUAAACUGAAAAAGGAAGAUGGUGUUUACUACAUGUCCUAUGCCAUGGGCAGAGGAUGCCUUACAUUUGGGGAGAUGAUGCAAAAGAUUUCCGACCUGAAAGAUGGCUCAACAAUGGUGUUUUCCAACCUGAAUCACCGUUCAAAUUCAUCGCAUUUCAUGUACGUUUAUAGUUUAUUUUUAUUUUUUUUUACAGGAAAGAUUAUACAUGCUUAUAUUUAUUUCUGGCAAAAACAAAAAUGAGAACAUGGAGAUGGAAUGCGUGAUUGAGUUUCCACACAUGCACAUGGAUCGCCGUCCCAGAAGGUCGCGUUUGGGUUGGGACGUUGCUCCUCAGGCCUUAAGGUAUCAAAUCUGUUCUCUAGAUCUCUGAUUUGAUAAUUUUUUUUUUCUUUUUUUAAUUCUAUUUUGUGCUAGAUCUAGUCGAAAUUAGAUACGUGGUAGAUCAGGUAUAAGAAAAGGUUUAUGCUUUUAUGUUUGAUCGAUUUUUAUUGGCUAAUUCGUUGUAGUUUCUUACAGAUCUGUAAAUUUCAUGCUUUUAUGUGUUCUUUGUUGUUAUCUGUGUUGCUGUGGCUUGUGUCAUUGGUAUAGCUGUUUGCUGCUGUCUUCCAUCUAUAAUUGCAAUAUUAUAUGCAGUAGCAGAUCAGGUAAUUUACAGAAGUCUCUUCGGUUUUGUGUUUAUUUCCAUAAAAGACUUGAUAUAUUAUAUUUCUAAUCCUAGAUUUUUCAAUUGCAAAAUAGUUAUCUGAGUUUGGACAGAAACUUCUUACUUUGUUUGCAAUUUGAAUACACCUUAUGUCUUUGGGUGAGUGACAUCAUGGAAUUUAUUGGUACAUUGUCUGUGAGAAAAUGUAACAUUACUGACACAUGACAGAGUGUAGAAAUUUCUUUCUAUGACUAUAGUGGUGGAGCUUGCUCGACAUACUAGUGCACUGACUACCUUGUACUAUGUUCCUAAAGAGGAGAUAUCAUGCUAGGAGCAUUGGAUCAGAACCGAGAUCUGAGUUUGGGAAGGAGCAACAAAGGAAGACAUUGAACGACUGUCCAAAUACAAAUUUCGGAGGGUUGGUGACUUUGAGAAACAAAAUGAGGAGAUUCUAGAAUCUUUUAGAGGAAUAAUUACAGAAUGUGAUACUGAUUCACCAAUUGAACAUAUUCUUUCCCCAGAAAAUGCUGAAUGUUGCAUUUGCCUUUGUCCCUAUGAAGACGGAAGACAGAACUGAACUGCAUGAAUUCCCUUCACGCCAUCAUUUUCACUGCUCCUGCAUAGACAAGUGGUUGUACAUCAAUGCUAUAUGUUCUCUCUGCAAGUUCAAUAUACUGAAGAACGGCAAUCAAAGUCGUAGCGAGGAAGUGUAAAAAAAAAGCUAGUUCUUCAAUGGAUUGAUAAAUUUGGUGUUAAAGAGUCUAGCCAUAAUCAAGAAGCUUCUAGUCCUGAUCCAGCUUCCCCAGCUUCAGCUUCCCCAGCUCCAGCUACACCUGCAACAGCCAUGACUACAGCUACAUCAUUGCUUCAGUUAGACAGUUACAGAUCAGUUAGAUAGUUAACAGAGUAGUUAGGCAGUUACAGAAUAAACUAGAGUUAAUUAGUUUGUUAUGCAUUAG